rnacentral:rRNA from 1 species
UACGGAGGGUGCAAACGUUGCUCGGAAUCAUUGGGCGUAAAGCGCACGUAGGCGGACCGCUAAGUCGGAUGUGAAAGCCCUCGGCUUAACCGGGAGGGGCCAUUUGAAACUGACGGACUAGAGUGGAGCAGAGGACAGUGGAAUUCCCGGUGUAGUGGUGAAAUGCGUAGAUAUCGGGAGGAACACCAGUGGCGAAGGCGAGUCUCUGGGAUGAUACUGACGCUGAUGCUCGAAAGCUAGGGGAGCAAACGGG